rnacentral:rRNA from 1 species
AGAGUUUGAUCCUGGCUCAGGACGAACGCUGGCGGCGUGCCUAAUACAUGCAAGUAGAACGCUGAAGAGAGGAGCUUGCUCUUCUUGGAUGAGUUGCGAACGGGUGAGUAACGCGUAGGUAACCUGCCUUGUAGCGGGGGAUAACUAUUGGAAACGAUAGCUAAUACCGCAUAACAAUGGAUGACACAUGUCAUUUAUUUGAAAGGGGCAAUUGCUCCACUACAAGAUGGACCUGCGUUGUAUUAGCUAGUAGGUGAGGUAACGGCUCACCUAGGCGACGAUACAUAGCCGACCUGAGAGGGUGAUCGGCCACACUGGGACUGAGACACGGCCCAGACUCCUACGGGAGGCAGCAGUAGGGAAUCUUCGGCAAUGGGGGCAACCCUGACCGAGCAACGCCGCGUGAGUGAAGAAGGUUUUCGGAUCGUAAAGCUCUGUUGUAAGUCAAGAACGAGUGUGAGAGUGGAAAGUUCACACUGUGACGGUAGCUUACCAGAAAGGGACGGCUAACUACGUGCCAGCAGCCGCGGUAAUACGUAGGUCCCGAGCGUUGUCCGGAUUUAUUGGGCGUAAAGCGAGCGCAGGCGGUUUGAUAAGUCUGAAGUUAAAGGCUGUGGCUCAACCAUAGUUCGCUUUGGAAACUGUCAAACUUGAGUGCAGAAGGGGAGAGUGGAAUUCCAUGUGUAGCGGUGAAAUGCGUAGAUAUAUGGAGGAACACCGGUGGCGAAAGCGGCUCUCUGGUCUGUAACUGACGCUGAGGCUCGAAAGCGUGGGGAGCGAACAGGAUUAGAUACCCUGGUAGUCCACGCCGUAAACGGUGGAUGCUGGAUGUGGGGCCCGUUCCACGGGUUCCGUGUCGGAGCUAACGCGUUAAGCAUCCCGCCUGGGGAGUACGGCCGCAAGGCUAAAACUCAAAGAAAUUGACGGGGGCCCGCACAAGCGGCGGAGCAUGCGGAUUAAUUCGAUGCAACGCGAAGAACCUUACCUGGGCUUGACAUGUUCCCGACGGUCGUAGAGAUACGGCUUCCCUUCGGGGCGGGUUCACAGGUGGUGCAUGGUCGUCGUCAGCUCGUGUCGUGAGAUGUUGGGUUAAGUCCCGCAACGAGCGCAACCCU